UGAGCAAUAGCUCAGCUGGCAGAGCAAGGGUCUCUUCAUCUCAGGGUUCUGGGUUCGAAUUCCGCGUUGGGCAA